GCUAAUAUUCAACCCUUUUGGGGCACGGGAAAGGGAUGAGUAGUUAUGCCCAAAUUUCUUCAAUAUAACUUUUAUAUGAUAAUAAAAAAAAAUGGAGGGUCCAGCAAUUAAAUUUCAAAGGUGUGAAAUUAAGGACCACCCUACUGUACAUAUUGACUUAAAUCCAGUAUUUUUUUCUAAAACUGUUUUCAUUUUCAGUUGUACGGCCUUAACAAUUUUGUUUUGUGCUUG